CAAGACUAAGGCCUUGUCUACAGUACAAAGUUGCAGCGCUGGUGAGGGGGUUACAGCGCUGCAACUUAGGAUGUGUACACACCUGCAGGGCAUUACCAGCGCUGCAACUCCCUGUUUGCAGCGCUGGCCGUACACCCGGUCGUGCCUCGGGUGUAGAGGAUCCAGCGCUGGAUCACCAGCGCUGGUCAUCAGGUGUAGACACUCACCAGCGUUUUUGUUGACCUCCGUGGAAUAAGCAGGUAUCCCAGCAUACCUGAGGAAGCCUCUCUGGUAAUCAAGCAAACUCCACUGCCCUCCAAGCAGGUCUCCUUCCCCGCGGUGUGCUCUGGCGUUCCCCGAUCCCCCCUCCAAGCAGGUCUCCAGCCCCGCGGUGUGCUCUGGCGUUCCCCGACCCCCCCUCCAAGCAGGUCUCCAGCCCCGCGGUGUGCUCUGGCGUUCCCCGACCCCCCCUCCAAGCAGGUCUCCAGCCCCGCGGUGUGCUCUGGCGUUCCCCGACCCCCCCUCCAAGCAGGUCUCCUUCCCCGCGGUGUGCUCUGGCGUUCCCCGACCCCCCCUCCAAGCAGGUAUCCAGCCCCGCGGUGUGCUCUGGCGUUCCCCGACCCCCCCUCCAAGCAGGUAUCCAGCCCCGCGGUGUGCUCUGGCGUUCCCCGACCCCCCCUCCAAGCAGGUAUCCAGCCCCGCGGUGUGCUCUGGCGUUCCCCGACCCCCCCUCCAAGCAGGUAUCCAGCCCCGCGGUGUGCUCUGGCGUUCCCCGACCCCCCCUCCAAGCAGGUCUCCUUCCCCGCGGUGUGCUCUGGCGUUCCCCGAUCCCCCCUCCAAGCAGGUCUCCUUCCCCGCGGUGUGCUCUGGCGUUCCCCGACCCCCCCUCCAAGCAGGUCUCCUUCCCCGCGGUGUGCUCUGGCAUUCCCCGACCCCCCCUCCAAGCAGGUCUCCUUCCCCGCGGUGUGCAACAGCGCUGCAGCGUGGCCACAUCUAACACCACUUGCAGCGCUGGUUGCUGUACGUGUGGCCACUCUGCAGCGCUGGCCCUAUACAGCUGUAC